UUUAUUUAUUCUUCCUUAGUGUCUUGAGAUUAUCAUCCGCUGAGGGUGGAGCUGAGGGUGGAAGGGGAGUGAGCAGACACUCGGGAGGUGUCUUGAGAUUAUCAUCCGCUGAGGGUGGAAGGGGAUAGAGCAGGCACUCGGCAGGUGUCUUGAGAUUAUCAUCCGCUGAGGGUGGAAGGGGAUAGAGCACACACUCGGAAGGUGUCUUGAGAUUAUCAUCCGCUGAGGGUGGAGCUGAGGGUGGAAGGGGAGUGAGCAGACACUCGGGAGGUGUCUUGAGAUUAUCAUCCGCUGAGGGUGGAAGGGGAUAGAGCAGGCACUCGGCAGGUGUCUUGAGAUUAUCAUCCGCUGAGGGUGGAAGGGGAUAGAGCACACACUCGGAAGGUGUCUUGAGGCUCAGGGAGUUAUCAAUUAUAGAAUGUUGUUGAGUUGGAG
rnacentral:lncRNA from 1 species